GGAAGUAAAAGUCGUAACAAGAUUUCCGUAGGUGAACCUGCGGAAGGAUCAUUAAAAGAUUUAGCAUAUUCUUCUGAAUAUACUUCAUUAACCCAUUCCGAGUACCUUACCCGUUGCUUCCGCGAGGCUGUCCUCACGGCCCUUUGAAGAUCUAUCUUUGGAGAGUCCUUGCGGGAGGUAUACAAUAAACUCUUGUAUUACCAUGUCAUCUGUCUGAAUCUGUUUAAAACAAAUAUUAAAACUUUCAACAACGGAUCUCUUGGUUCUC
rnacentral:misc_RNA from 1 species